AUUGAACGCUGGCGGCAUGCCUUACACAUGCAAGUCGAACGGCAGCACGGGAGCAAUCCUGGUGGCGAGUGGCGAACGGGUGAGUAAUAUAUCGGAACGUGCCCAGUCGUGGGGGAUAACGUAGCGAAAGCUACGCUAAUACCGCAUACGAUCUAUGGAUGAAAGCGGGGGAUCGCAAGACCUCGCGCGAUUGGAGCGGCCGAUAUCAGAUUAGGUAGUUGGUGAGGUAAAGGCUCACCAAGCCGACGAUCUGUAGCUGGUCUGAGAGGACGACCAGCCACACUGGGACUGAGACACGGUCCAGACUCCUACGGGAGGCAGCAGUGGGGAAUUUUGGACAAUGGACGCAAGUCUGAUCCAGCCAUUCCGCGUGCAGGAUGAAGGCCCUCGGGUUGUAAACUGCUUUUGUACGGAACGAAAAGGUUUCUAUUAAUACUAGGAGCUCAUGACGGUACCGUAAGAAUAAGCACCGGCUAACUACGUG
rnacentral:rRNA from 1 species